CAGGCCUAACACAUGCAAGUCGAACGGAAAGGCCCUGCUUUUGUGGGGUGCUCGAGUGGCGAACGGGUGAGUAACACGUGAGUAACCUGCCCUUGACUUUGGGAUAACUUCAGGAAACUGGGGCUAAUACCGGAUAGGAGCUCCUGCUGCAUGGUGGGGGUUGGAAAGUUUCGGCGGUUGGGGAUGGACUCGCGGCUUAUCAGCUUGUUGGUGGGGUAGUGGCUUACCAAGGCUUUGACGGGUAGCCGGCCUGAGAGGGUGACCGGCCACAUUGGGACUGAGGUACGGCCCAGACUCCUACGGGAGGCAGCAGUGGGGAAUAUUGCACAUUGGGCGGAAGCCUGAUGCAGCAACGCCGCGUGCGGGAUGACGGCCUUCGGGUUGUAAACCGCUUUCGCCUGUGACGAAGCGUGAGUGACGGUAAUGGGUAAAGAAGCACCGGCUAACUACGUGCCAGCAGCCGCGGUGAUACGUAGGGUGCGAGCGUUGUCCGGAUUUAUUGGGCGUAAAGGGCUCGUAGGUGGUUGAUCGCGUCGGAAGUGUAAUCUUGGGGCUUAACCCUGAGCGUGCUUUCGAUACGGGUUGACUUGAGGAAGGUAGGGGAGAAUGGAAUUCCUGGUGGAGCGGUGGAAUGCGCAGAUAUCAGGAGGAACACCAGUGGCGAAGGCGGUUCUCUGGGCCUUUCCUGACGCUGAGGAGCGAAAGCGUGGGGAGCGAACAGGCUUAGAUACCCUGGUAGUCCACGCUGUA
rnacentral:rRNA from 1 species